UACGUAGGGGGGCAAGCGUUGUCCGGAAUCAUUGGGCGUAAAGCGCGUGUAGGCGGUCCGGUAAGUUGGCUGUGAAAGUCCAGGGCUCAACCCUGGGAUGCCGGUCGAUACUGCCGGACUAGAGUUCGGAAGAGGCGAGUGGAAUUCCCGGUGUAGCGGUGAAAUGCGCAGAUAUCGGGAGGAACACCAAUGGCGAAGGCAGCUCGCUGGGACGUUACUGACGCUGAGACGCGAAAGCGUGGGGAGCAAACAGG
rnacentral:rRNA from 1 species